rnacentral:tRNA from 1 species
UAGCUCAGUUGGUAAAUCAUCUGCCUGCAAUGCAGGAGACCCAGGUUCAAUUCCUGG